rnacentral:lncRNA from 1 species
AGCUGAUGAAAUUUUCUGUACUUUGUAUAUAAUUUGUCCCAAAAGUAGUACAACACACUGGAAAAAUAUUAUUGAGAAAGCGUAGGUGGGAUUUUAAUUGUCUAAAAGAAAUGCACAACGAAAUAACUGUGGUCUCGGACCAUAUACAUAUAGGUAUUGCGCAGAGAGGUACAUGGCGAAUUCUACUGAGGUUGUUUGACUCGCGUGUCAUUUUUUUAAAUAUAAAUUUGGGUUAUAAUGUACUUGUUAAUUUUUCUUUCUUUUAACGGGGGUGAGCAAUACUAAAAAUUUGCACACAUUUUUUUCUUUAAAUAAUGCCGUUUUAAAGCCAUAUUUCUGCUUGUAAAAACAUAUUUCAGUAACAAGACAUAAUGUUGUUAAAAUCGUUAAACGAACAUGUAUACACAUGCAAAUGUACAAGGAUACUGUAAAUUAUAAAAAAGUUGAAGAAGAUUUUUUAAUAUAUCCCCAUUGGGAAAUAAGCUUGUGGUACAUAUGUCUUUCCUCUUCUAUUAAAACAUGUGCAUGUACAUGUAUUCCCUCA